rnacentral:snoRNA from 1 species
UGCUAUGAUGUUGUAAUUUGCAUCUUAUCCAGUAUUCAGGGACAGUUGCCUGCUGUCCACAUGCUGUUGCUGUUGAGCUGAAGAUUUUUAAAGACUGAGCA